rnacentral:rRNA from 1 species
UACGUAGGGGGCAAGCGUUGUCCGGAAUCAUUGGGCGUAAAGAGCGUGUAGGCGGCUUGGUAAGUCUGCUGUGAAAGUCCAGGGCUCAACCCUGGAAUGCCGGUGGAAACUGUCAAGCUAGAGUCCGGAAGAGGCGAGUGGAAUUCCUGGUGCAGCGGUGAAAUGCGUAGAUAUCAGGAGGAACACCUGUGGUGUAGACAGCUUGCUGGACCAUAACUGACGCUGAGGCACGAAAGCGUGGGUAGCAAACAGG